CCUCCGCUCUCCCCGCACAGGAGGGCGGAUCGAGGCACACGGCGCUCUCUGCCCUGACUGCGCCCGCGCCUCCGAUCGGCCGGCUGACCGGCCGAUGCAACUCCGGGCUGCGGUGCCGGGCGGGUUGAGGGUCCCGCCCUGGCGC
rnacentral:ncRNA from 1 species